GAUGGUGAAAUUUUAUUGAUAAGGUGAAAUUUUUAAUUUAACGUAAACUCUUGAGAAAUCUGUUGAGACUAAAAAAUUUAGGUAAAAAACCAGGAUUAGAUACCCUGUUAUUCUAAAUAAUAAUUUAAAUAGGGUAGUAAAAGUCGUUCUUCAAACCCAAAGAUUUUGGCGGCAUCUUAUCCUAAUAGAGGAGCUUGUCCUAUAAUUGAUAGUCCUCAUUUUAUCUUACCCUCCUUUGUAAAGCUUGUAUACCGCCGUUGUCAGAUUACUUUAAAAGAAUGUUUUCAAGAAAAAUAUUUUUCUUACUUCAGGUCAAGGUGCAGUUUAUGGGAGGGCAGCGAUGAGCUACAAUUUUUAAUAAAAACACGGAUUUUAGGUUUAAAACCCGGGUAAAGGUGGAUUUAUUAGUAAACUUACUUAAGUAUAGUAAGUUGAAUAGGGCAAUGAGAUGUGCACAUAUCGCCCGUCACUCUCUU
rnacentral:rRNA from 1 species